rnacentral:piRNA from 1 species
GAGGUAUUGCUGGAUCCUCC